GUGGCAGCCGCCGCGGUAAUACGUAGGACGCAAGCGUUAUCCGGAGUUACUGGGCGUAAAGGGCAGGCAGGCGGACUGCUAAGUUGGGUGUGAAAUCUCCCAGGCUUAACCGGGAGGGCGCAUCUGAGACUGGCAGACUGGAGGGCAGCAGAGGAGCGUGGAAUUCCGGGUGGAGUGGUGAAAUGCGUAGAGAUCCGGAGGAACACCAGUGGCGAAGGCGGCUUUCUGGACCGGUUCUGACGCUGAGGAGCGAAAGCCAGGGGAGCAAACAGGAUUAGAUACCCUGGUAGUCCUGGCUGUAAACGAUGGGCACUAGGUGUGGGGGGAUCGACCCCUUCCGUGCCGCAGUUAACGCAUUAAGUGAUCCGCCUGGGGAGUACGGCCGCAAGGUUGAAACUCAAAGGAAUUGACGG
rnacentral:rRNA from 1 species